UACGUAGGGACCAAGCGUUGUUCGGAUUUACUGGGCGUAAAGGGCGCGUAGGCGGCUUGCCAAGUCACUUGUAAGAAUCUCUGGGCUUAACCCAGAACGGCCAAGUGAAACUGGCAUGCUAGAGUGCAGAAGGGGCAAUCGGAAUUCUUGGUGUAGCGGUGAAAUGCGUAGAUAUCAAGAGGAACACCUGAGGUGAAGACGGGUUGCUGGGCUGACACUGACGCUGAGGCGCGAAAGCCAGGGGAGCGAACGGG
rnacentral:rRNA from 1 species